GACAGAGGUGGCGAGCGUUGUUCGGAUUCAUUGGGUGUAAAGGGUGCGUAGGCGGCUUGGAAAGUCAGAUGUGAAAGCCCACAGCUCAACUGUGGAAUUGCAUCUGAAACUUCUGAGCUCGAGUGCGAGAGAGGUGAAGGGAAUUCCCGGUGUAAGGGUGAAAUCUGCAGAGAUCGGGAGGAACACCAGUAGCGAAGGCGCUUCACUGGCUCGCAACUGACGCUGAGUGCACGAAGGCGUGGGGAGCAAACGGG
rnacentral:rRNA from 1 species